UGCCUCUCUAGGGAAAAAAAAAGGGGGGAGGGGAGGGAAGGGGAGAGAGAGAGAGAGAGAGGAGAGUAGUUAGAGAAUGACAGAGAGGAAAUGUCGCCAUAAAGCAAGCUCUAAUUCCUAGCUUUUGCUCUCUUUCUCCCUCUCUCUUUCUACUACUAGAAAAUUUGUCUCUAAGCUCUGCACUUUCAUGUAUAAAUUCGCAUUGUCUGUAUUUAUUUUUUCAGUUUUUCGGUGAGAAAAGCGAAAUCGGCACCGAAAAUAUUGGCAAACCCAUCUUUUUGGGGGUGAUAUUCAGCUGUUAGAUGCUUUCGUUUCGUUUUAUGAUCGAAUCUAUCCCCAAUUCUCAUUUCAAAAUCCCACAUUCUCUCUCGCUCCCAUUACCAAUUGUCUUCCCCUGCGAAGUUACUUCUUCUCUCAGUCUCUGCGUUUAAUUUUCUAUUUAGAAUUUCAAAUUUCAGCUCUUUUCGGUGUGACCGUUACUUAUUUGCUCGAUUUGUGCCAUUUCAUGUUUUACUUCUAAUUACUGUACCGGUCACCUACAAAAUUUUCAUCGAGACCCCCUUUCUUGUACUCAAUUUCCUAUAUUUUUCUUCCGUCAGGUGUUUUCUUUAUAUGUUGUCUCAAUUGCAUGAGAUUCCGCCUAAAAUUUUGAUAUUUCGUCUGCCGCGCUAUCGUUCACUGUAAUUUCCACGUUAUUUACGGGUCAAUUUAGCUGACGGAGGGCGGAAUUUAGGUUUUCUGUGGGAUUGAGAGUGAAGAUUUGUGCUGAAUGGCUGAUCGUUAUAGGUCGGUUUCGAUUGAAGAAUUGCCCUCACAUUUAAUUUUAGAAAUCUUGGCCUCAGGCCGGCUAAGUGCCGCUGAUCUUGUUUGCUUAGAGCUGACUUCGCGCACUUUCGGGGGUAGCCAAGGGUUGUUCCCCCUCAAGUUUCGGUCUUUGGUGGAUUUAGCGGCGUUCCAGCUAUGUGGGUCCCAUCCUGUAUAUGCUCCGAUGGGUUUGAAUGCACGGAAAGAGCUGUUUGAUCGUUGUGGUGGGAAUUGGAAGCGGGUAUUGAGGUUUUUGCAAUCCGUAGAGCAGUCCUCCGAUAUUGUCAAGACCUCAGCAGGCAAUAUGCAGAUAGCAACCGGAAGAUAUCACACAUUGCUGAUCAGUGGUUCAUCUGUAUACUCUUGUGGCUCCAGUUUGUGUGGUGUUCUCGGUCAUGGCCCAGAAACAACACAAUGUGUAGCAUUUACCCGGAUCAGUUUCCCAUCUUUGUCACAUGUGGUCCAAGUCUCAGCCUUCCACAAUCAUGCAGCUUUUGUCAUGCAGUCUGGGGAGGUUUUCACAUGUGGAGAUAAUUCAUCCUACUGUUGUGGGCAUAGAGAUACAGGCCGUCCCAUCUUCAGGCCUAGGCUUGUUGAAGCAUUGAAGGGAGUUCCUUGUAAACAGGUUGCUGCAGGGCUUAGUUUUACCAUGUUCCUUACAAGAGAAGGCCAUGUCUAUACAUGUGGGACAAACACACAUGGCCAGCUGGGUCAUGGUGAUUCUGUAGAUAGAGCAACACCCAAAAUUGUUGAACAUCUUGGAGGCAUUGGUUCUGUAGUACAGAUUGCUGCUGGUCCAAGUUAUGCCUUAGCUGUAACUGAUGAUGGAACAAUCUACUCUUUUGGGUUGGGCUCCAAUUUUUGUCUUGGUCAUGGAGAACAGCACAACGAGCACCAACCACGUGCAAUCCAGUCAUUUAGAAGAAGGGGUAUUCAUGUGGUUCGCAUCUCUGCUGGUGAUGAGCACGUAGUGGCACUUGAUUCGAAUGGAUUUGUUUAUACUUGGGGUAAGGGCUACUGUGGCGCAUUGGGCCAUGGAGAUGAGAUUGAUAAGACUACUCCAGAGCUCUUGAGCAGCCUUAAGAAUCACCUUGCUGUGCAGGUUUGUGCCAGGAAGAGAAAGACAUUUGUUCUGGUAGAUGCUGGUUCAGUUUAUGGGUUUGGGUGGAUGGGGUUUGGUAGCCUUGGCUUUCCAGACAGGGGAGCAUCUGAUAAAGUAUUGAGGCCUCGAAUCCUUGAAAGCUUAAGAGCUCAUCGAAUUUCUCAAAUAAGCACAGGUCUCUACCAUACUGUUGUACUUUCUACCAGGGGACAAAUACUUGGUUUUGGAGAUAAUGAAAGGGCACAACUUGGGCAUGACACAUUGAGGGGAUGCCCUGGGCCUACAGAAAUUUUUAUUCAAGAAAUGGUAGAAGAAGACGGCUUUGUUUCAUAAAGUGGGUGACUCUCGGUGACCUGCCUUCUUUGAAGAGGGAGUGAGAAUGAAAGUAGCUAAGUUGCGGAAGUGCGGCGGUUUGCAGGGGAGCUGGUUGGUUUGCGUGAAUUUCUUUUAGUAGUGUUUGUUCCUCUGUGUUUAUUCAAAUUGAUUUGUUAAGCGCAAAAUCAAUUGUUUGCCAACAGUCAACUUCUUGGUUGCAGAAUUAUUGUGUUGUAGGGUAAGGGUAAUUCUAUAUUCACCCCACCUCCAUAAGAGUUCAUGUCAUCCUCGAUGCGGCAUUUAAAUAAAUCUCAUUUAGGGGAUUUUUUUUUGUUUGCGAACUUAUUUUAUCAUUCCAAAGAAGGGAGACUUGUAAAAUAUUGAGAC